UACGGGGGGAGCAAGCGUUGUUCGGAUUUACUGGGCGUAAAGGGCGCGUAGGCGGCCAGCACAAGUCAGUUGUGAAAUCUCCGAGCUUAACUCGGAACGGUCAACUGAUACUGUGCGGCUAGAGUGCAGAAGGGGCAACUGGAAUUCUCGGUGUAGCGGUGAAAUGCGUAGAUAUCAGGAAGAACACCCGUGGCGAAGGCGGCUCUCUGGUACGUGACUGACGCUGAGACGCGAAAGCGUGGGGAGCAAACAGG
rnacentral:rRNA from 1 species